UCCCGAAACACGAACCAAGGAGUCUAUCUAGUAUGCAAGUAAAUGAGCAUAUGAAACUUAUUUGCAGAAGAAACUUGACUGUUUAUGGGACUACGAGUAGCAUUAACGUGCUGCUCCUCAAUCCCGGGGUAUUUUUAUCAACAUAUACAGCAAUGUAUAUGGAAAAUAUACCAUGAGCAUACUGGAUAUGACCCGAAAGAUGGUGAACUAUGCCUGAUCAGGUUGAAGUCAGGGGAAACCCUGAUGGAGGACCGAAGCAAUUCUGACGUGCAAAUCGAUUGUCAGAAUUGGGCAUAGGGGCGAAAGACCAAUCGAACCAUCUAGUAGCUGGUUCCUUCCGAAGUUUCCCUCAGGAUAGCUGGAGCAUGUAAAGAUCUUUUUCUAACUCAUACCUGGUAAAGCGAAUGAUUAGAGGCCUUAGGAACGAAAUGUUUUUAACCUAUUCUCAAACUUUAAAUGGGUAUGUAAGCUAACAUACUUGAUUGAUGUUGGCCUGGUGGUGUCGUCGCAAGACGCAUCUGUAAGAUUGUAUGCGCCCAGUGGGCCAAGUUUUGGUAAGCAGAACUGGUGCUGCGGGAUGAACCGAACGCAUUGUUAAGGCGCCCAAAUAAACGACGCAUCAUCGAUACCAUGAAAGGUGUUGAUGCUAAGACAGCAGAUCGUACUG
rnacentral:rRNA from 1 species